AUUGAACGCUGGCGGCAGGCCUAACACAUGCAAGUCGAACGAGUGGCGGACGGGUGAGUAAUGUCUGGGAAACUGCCUGAUGGAGGGGGAUACCUACUGGAAACGGUAGCUAAUACCGCAUACCAUCGGAUGUGCCCAGAUGGGAUUAGCUAGUAGGUGAGGUAAUGGCUCACCUUGGCGACGAUCCCUAGCUGGUCUGAGAGGAUGAUCAGCCACACUGGGACGGAGACACGGCCCAGACUCCUACGGGAGGCGGCAGUGGGGAAUAUUGCACAAUGGGCGCAAGCCUGAUGCAGCCAUGCCGCUUGUAUGAAGAAGGCCCUAGGUUUGUAAAGUACUUUCAGUCGGGAGGCGUUACCGACAGAAGAAGCACCGGCUAACUCCGUGCCAGCAGCCGCGGUAAUUC
rnacentral:rRNA from 1 species